rnacentral:lncRNA from 1 species
UUGACAACAAACCGAUGUAGUUGUCUAUUUUUGUGCUUUUUAUUUUUUUUAAAAUAGAUAUAAAAGUGAUUGUAUGUAUAUGCAAAAAUACGUAUAUACCAAAGCACGUAUACACAUAAUUGCGUUGAUACGUACGGACAGAUUUUUUAACUAUUAACAUAUGCAUACACAUGCGUGUGUUUCUUAAAAUAAAUAAAAUACAUAAUAACCAUUUUUAAAUAUGAUUGAUGGUAACAAAUCCGACAUUGUAAGUUAAAAACAGAGAAAAUGUGCAUAGCCCUACAUGAAAAGUAGAUAACAAUUUUAACAGCUUUUAGUCCUAUAUGUAAAAUAGAUAAUAGUUUUAACCUUUUUGAAUAAAGUUUAAUUUGCCAUUGAUAUGUGAUAUGUCUUUGUAUAUAUUUUUGUAUAUAUUUUUGUACAUAUUUUUGUACAUAUUUUUGUACAUACUUUUGUACAUACUUUUGUACGUACUUUUGUACAUAUUUUUGUACAUAUUUUUGUACAUAUUUUUGUACAUACUUUUGUACGUACUUUUGUACAUAUUUUUGUACAUAUUUUUGUACAUAUUUUUGUACAUAUUUUUGUACAUAUUUUUGUACAUAUUUUUGUACACAUUUUUCUGUUUUUUUUUUUUUUUUUUUUUUUUUUUCCAGAAGCUCGACCAUUCAACAGCUAGCAAUGGACUGUUCACUGUCCUAGAGCGUAAACCACUUUCUUCACUGUAAGAACGAUAAAAAAAAAAAAAAAAAAAAAAAAAAAAUGCAAAUAGUGGCAUAUUGGGGAAAAACAAACGUUCAUAUUUGUUAACGUGUACGCUGUUUUGUUUACACACACACAGCUCUUUUUCUUACUCACAUGCCAUGCUUAUUUAUACGCUUAUUUAUACGCUUAUUUAUACGUUCUUUUUUUUUUUUUUUUUUUUUUUUUUUUUUUUUUUUUUUUUUUUUUUUAGUGAAAACUCGGAUAGUUUAAAUACAAGCAACUUAAGCUGCCAACCAUGGGGUUCAUUAGAUAACUCGCUGAAAGAAAAAAAAAGAGAAGGAGGAAACAUUACACUAAAGGACAGUAGUAUUUAUGAAACGUAUAGACUAAACACUUCUCAAUUGUUAAAUGAGAAUAUUGACAGUACAAUUAAUAGGUUUAGUUAUGUUGAUGAUGAUGUGUCAUCAUUUUAUGAUUCAGAAAAAGAAGAAGAACUGUAUUUUGAUAAUGAUAUUUCAACUCUUGGUUCAUGCCAUUCUUGUCCUAGUCCCAGAAAAAGUGUUAAAAUAAAAAAAGAUCGAUUUAGUAUGUCAUUAAAAAAUAAUUUUUAUGAUGCUAAUGAUGAUAUGGAUAAAGAUAUUUUACCUUAUUCAAAAAAUAAAACUAAUUUAUCGUUUAGUAAAAAAGGAUUAAAAAGUAAAAGGUAUAACAAUGGUGAUGAUAAUUAUGUGGGAAAUAGUGAUUACAACCAAGAAGAUGUUAAAAAAAUAUAUACAUCAGAGUAUAAUAAUAUGAUAGGUAAAAACAACAACUUGGAUUAUUCCAAUAGUUCAUCAGAAAAUAAUGGAAAAUGUGUUACUGCUAGUUUAACACAAGAUGAUUUUUUUUUCGAAAGUAAAAGUAGUGAAAUACUAUCAAGUGAUGGAGUUAUGGAUUAUAACAAAAAUGAAUUAAACGAAAAAGCAAUUAAGUUAAAAAAUAACAUUUAUAGAUUUGUUAAUAUGGAUAAAUAUGAUAAUAAUAAUAAUAAUAAUAAAAAAAAUAUUAUAAAAAGAGUAACACAAGUAAAAAAAAGCAUGAUUAAUGAAAAAAAAUAUGGAAUAGAUAGUCAGGAAGGAAAAAAAAUAAAAAAAAUUCAAUCGAAUGAAUUAAAUGACAGUAACUGUAGUAAUGAAUAUUUAAACAUAGCUUUAGGGGGAAAUAAAAAUAUGAACAAUAUUAACAUCAACAAUAAUAAUACAAAUGUACUAAACGAAUCAGACACAGAAGUAGAAAGAUUCAACAUCUUAAACAAUUUAAACGAUUCGAAUGUUAAUGAAAAGCAUGAUAUAAAAAAUUAUAAAAAUGGUACCAGAUUUAGUGAAGGACAUGUACUCAAAAAAUAUAACUCACUAUCUAGAUAUAAAAGCGAUAACAAAAUAAAGUAUAAGCACGCGAAUAAUUAUAAGGACUUACAAGAGGAUACUACUUAUUAUGAUAAAAAUAUUUAUGAUACAGGUAGUGAUGACUACUAUAACGAGCGAUAUGGUAAGAACGGGCCAUAUAGCAAUGACGAAAAAUAUCACCAACGUUAUGACAUCCAUUAUGAUGACCAAUAUGACAACCAAUAUGACAACCAAUAUGACAACCAAUAUGACAACCAAUAUGACAACCAAUAUAACAACCAAUAUAACAACCAAUAUGACAACCAAUAUAACAACCAAUAUGACAACCAAUACGACAACCAAUAUGACAACCAAUAUGACAACCAAUAUGACAAACAAUAUGACAAACAAAAAGGUAAAGAAAACGAGUUUAACAAAUAUCUUAUCAACACCUAUUACAAAAAUGAUAGUAAUAAAUCAAACGAUUUUAAAAAUACAACAAAUCUAAGAAAAAAAACAGUCGAGUUAAAAAAUAAUGAAAAAGAAAAAUAUAAUUUAAAAGAUGAUUAUAAUAACAUACAUGAAGGUAAUAAUAUACCAUAUGAAAAUUUUGAUAAAAAUCAGAAUCAUGAAUUAUAUGGUGUAAAUAUGCAAGACCAUGGAGAUUCUUAUCGUGACGACUAUCAGUAUAGAAGAAGUGGUCGUUUAAACUCACAUAACCCUGUUGAUACAAAUGUGCAUACAAAUAAAUAUCUAGAUGAAUAUACAUAUGAUGAAGGCAUAAAUGAUUAUACAUUAUAUCCAAAUAAAAACAAAAUGGAUUAUUAUGAUAAUACAGUACAUAAUCCUGAUAAUGUGCGCGAUACUCCAUAUGACCAAGCAGAAUACAAUUAUAAUGAUGGUGAAAAAGGUAUGAUAUAUAAGCAUAACAGUAAUAAUAUUAACAGCAAUGCACUUUAUUUUCGAAAUAAAAACGAAAAUGAUAGUAACUACCCUUCAGGUAUAACAAGAAAAAGUGAAAAACUAAAUGAACAUAUGUACAUGCACGGUACAGGUAAAAUAAGAUCAAACAUGAGAAGAACGUCAAGUGGUAAUCAAGCCGAUUAUUAUAAAAAAAAUUAUGAACAUAUGGAUUCUAUUGAUAAUAUAAAUAAUAAUUAUGACCCUAUGAGUUAUACAUAUAAUAAAAACAUGAAUACUCGUGUUAACGAUAUAAAUACUUAUGAUAAUGAUGUUUAUUAUGACAGUGGAUACGAUGUGAAUACUCAGCAUGGUAAUAAGAACAAAAUACAUGGGACUAGUACAAACAUAAAUAAGCAAUACAGUUUAAACAAGUCAUACGUUAAUACAGAAAGAGGACUUGAACAUAUAGAAGCAAAUGACAGAACCUAUAGAGAUAGCUACAAAAAUAAUAAUAUCAGUAGCAAUAAUAAUGCAUAUUAUGCGUAUGGUGAUAAACAACAAGGGUAUAAUAACGUGCUUGAAGAAAAAAGAGAAGAGAUUAAAAAUACGACAGAUGUGGUUAAUGCAAUCCAUGUAAUCAAUACACAACAAAAAAAUGAUAUAUACAAAGAUAAUGUCAUAAAUAAUAAUAUUAAAACAGGUGACACUACUGCUACUGCUGCUGCUACUGCUGCUACUGCUGCUACUGCUACUGCUGCUAAUGCUACUGCUACUACUACUACGGCUACUGCUACUACUGCUACGGCUACUACUACUACUACAUUUGUACCUGGAACGAACGAAUUGAACUCAAUAAAUGGUGUGACUAAAGUUGAUAUGGGCCAAUCACAGAUACCGACUGCUCCAGUGUCGUCUGUCCCAGUGUCGUCUGUCCCAUUGUCGUCUGUCCCAUUGUCGUCUGUCCCAUUGUCGUCUGUCCCAUUGUCGUCUGUCCCAAUGUCGUCUGUCCCAUUGUCGUCUGUCCCAUUGUCGUCUGUCCCAAUGUCAACUGUCCCAGUGUCAACUGUCCCAGUGCCAGAAACAUCGACAGGAACUGUAACAGAAACAGUAGCAGCACCUGUGAAAAGAAAACGAGGAAGACCUAAAUUAAAAAAAACACCUACCGAAGAACAACAACAAAAAGAAAACCAAGCAGCAAAUAUCGCCGUACAACCUAAUAGUACAUCUACACAACCAAUCAAUUUGAACAAUAUAAAUGGUAACAUAGUAAAGGAUAUGAAUCAACCUUUGUAUAAUAACAUAAAUACAUUAACAAAUAAUGCUUAUAAUAAUACGUUGGGGCAAAAUAUGAAUGCACCUAUGAAUAUACCAGUCGAACAAAUGUCAGUACAACAUUUUCCAGUACAACCUCCAGGACAACUAACAAAUCAACAACAUCAACUUUUAAAUUACCAACAAACUGGAAAUCACCCACCUCUACCAAACCAGACUAUAACAGAUACACUCAUUCAACAACUUAAUCAGCCACUGGUUCAACAUCUUGGACCUCCAUUAGACCAACACAUAAAUCAACAUAUGGUAGGUCAUCACCCAAUAAACCAACACAUGGUUAGUCAUCAUCCUGUCAACCAACAAAUGGGUAUACCCAUAAACCAACAAAUUAGUCACCAAAUUAAUAGAAACAUAAAUCAACCCUUCAAUCAGCAUAUAUUUAAUAACAAUAAUAAUAAUAAUAAUAAUAACAAUAAUAAUACUUUGAAUACACAAACUAGUCAAAGAAACCAACAAAUGUAUAUGGCACCUAAUAGAAUGUCGACACACUUUAAUGGACAUAUAAACGAUGAACAUUUUGGUAAUAUGUAUAAUAAUAAAGGUGAUACGAAUAUACAACAAAAUAAUGUAGAUGAUUAUCAUAAUAAUAUAGACCAACUGAAUGUAAUUAAAGAAUUCGGUUAUAUAGAUGAAAAUGAACAACACUUAAGACAUAAUAAAAGACCAACACAUUCGACUGUUAGUGAAUCCAGUGAUAAACAUUCUGAUAGGGAUCGUGGCCGAAUGGGAGCAGGUACAGGUACAAGUACAGGAGUUGAUAUGCCAAAAGUGCAUAAGAAAAGAGGAAGAAAAAGAAAAAACGAAAUAGUAGAACCAGCAGUGGAUAAUAAAAAAGGAUCAGCACCUGUUACUAAUACUAAUGCAACUACUGGUGGUAGUGCUAAUAGCAAUAACGAAAACAAGCACGGGAUGGUUGGGACACAGCAAAAAAAAAAUAGUGUGGGUGGGGAAGAAGGUUCUAAAAACGAAGAAAAAAAAGAUGCUGUAUUUUCUACAUUUGUGGACGAAAACAAUAAAAUCGUUUCUUAUCGUACGUGCAAAA